UUUACAGAGAACUGGAGAUGACGGGGCUCAAGAGAAAGGCCUAUGAUUUCAAAGGGUCUAUGAAAAUAUCAGCCUGUGAAAUGAAAGGUCCUACCUGCCUCUGUGGAAUAGUAUUCAAUGAUUCUUUAGACAGGAGUCAUGACAUUUUGCAGCUCCUUGAGAUAUGUUGGAUGGGAUCCAAAUGAAUACUUGCCUUACAUAGACCCUUCCCCAGCCUCAGCAAAGAGUUCUUCAGUCUGGAGGAACUAGGGACACCAUAUCCAGCUUGACUUCAUGUCCCCUUUCUCAUCUGAAAAACUCCAAGGUGGAACUGACAAAUGGACUGGUUAGUUUCAGGGGAAGGCAAGUACAUGUAGACAAACAAAUGUUCGUGUUCACAGGUAAGCUCAAUCCUGUAUGCCACUGCUCUCACAACUUCUAACUGUGGGAGUGAAUCCUACUUUUAGAACUUCCCUUGGAGUCUGUCAUGAAGGAUUAUAGUAGGAGCCAGGAGUGGGGCCACUGGACUUUUCCAUUGUGUAUACUGAUGACUUUAAGAUACUUUAUUCUCUACCUCUUGUGUCUGCUGCCAGGAAAUACAAAGGGUGAGAGUUACAACCUCUAGGUUACGAGCCUUAGUCUAAUUAGUAUACCACAGUGAACUGGGAUCUCUGACAUUCCACGGGUCUCCUUUUAGUCUCUAUUCUUAGCAAUCACACACUUCCUUGCAAAUCCUUCCUUUCUGACACUACAUUUGCUUCUUACUCGUGUUUCUUUCUGCCCAGGUGCCAGCACCGUUCCUCUUGCUUCCACAGCUACAUUGCCGAGCAACGACUUGGAAGCCGGCUCUUCCCACUACCUCAACUCUGCCCAGCCUCACUCUCCUCCAAGAGGCACCAUAGAACUGGGAAGAAUCCUGGAGCCUGGGUACCUGGGCAGCAGUGGCCAGUGGGACAUGAUGAGGCCUCAGAAAGGGAGUGUAUCUGGGGACCUAUCCUCAGGCUCCUCUGUGUACCAGCUUAACUCCAAACCCACAGGGGCUGACCUGCUGGAAGAGCAUCUUGGUGAAAUCCGGAACCUGCGCCAGCGCCUGGAGGAGUCCAUCUGCAUCAAUGACCGCCUACGGGAGCAACUGGAACACCGACUGAGCUCUGCUGCUCGUGGAAGUGGAUCCACCUCUAACUUCUGCAGUCAGGGCCUGGAGUCCAUACCUCAGCUCUGCAAUGAGAACAGAGUCCUCAGGGAAGAAAAUCGAAGACUUCAGGCUCAACUGAGUCAUGUUUCCAGAGAGCACUCCCAGGAAACAGAAAGCCUGAAGGAGGCUCUGCUGUCCUCUCGAUCCCACCUUCAAGAGCUGGAAAAGGAGCUGGAGCACCAGAAGGUGGAAAGGCAGCAGCUUUUGGAAGACUUAAGGGAGAAGCAGCAAGAGGUCUUGCAUUUCAGGGAGGAACGUCUUUCCCUCCAGGAAAACGACUCCAGACUGCAGCACAAGCUGGUCCUCCUGCAGCAACAGUGUGAAGAGAAACAGCAGCUCUUUGAGUCCCUCCAGUCAGAGCUACAAAUCUACGAAGCACUUUAUGGCAAUUCCAAGAAGGGGCUGAAAGCUUGCAGCCUGGAUGCCUGUCACCAAAUCCCUUUGAGCAGUGACCUGAGCCACCUGGUGGCAGAGGUACGAGCUCUAAGAGGGCAGCUGGAGCAGAGCAUUCAGGGGAACAAUUGUCUGCGACUGCAGCUGCAACAGCAGCUGGAUAGCGGUGCUGGCAAAGACAGCCUCAGCCCCUCCUCUGUUAACCAGAACUUCCCAGCCAGCGUUGACCCUGGAAACAAGCAGCUGCUCCUCCAAGGCUUGGGUGUGGAUACUUCUCCAAUAAUGAAGACCCCUCCCAAGCUGGAGGGUGAUGCUACUGAUGGCUCCUUUGCCAAUAAGCAUGGCCGCCAUGUCAUUGGCCACAUAGAUGACUACAGUGCCCUGAGACAGCAGAUUGCGGAGGGCAAGCUGCUGGUCAAAAAGAUUGUGUCUCUUGUGAGGUCAGCGUGCAACUUUCCUGGCCUUGAAGCCCAAGGCACAGAGGUAAUCACACCUGUAGCUUUAGAUGCACUGUUUCCUUGUGCCCUUUCUUCCUUUGAUGUUAACUCCGUCUCCCACCAUUUUUGUUUUUGUUUUUGUUUUCCAUGCUUUGCAUCUCUCAACAGCUGAGGCUUCCUCUUCCAUGUAUAGCAGCCAGGCCCUGUCUUCUCUGUCUCCUGUUUUCACUGUCAGUUCUGCUCUGUUCCAGAUGUUGCUGACUGGAUAUUUCCCCUCAGCCCCACAGAAACAUGUGGCAUUGCCUAGCAGCUUUUGGGAGCUUUUUUUUUUUUCCUCUUUUCUUGUUUUUAUUAUUAUACCUUAAGUUCUAGGGUACAUAUGCACAAUGUGCAGGUUUGUUACCUAUGUAUACAUGUGCCAUGUUGGUGUGCUGCACCCAUUAACUCGUCAUUUACAUUAGGUAUAUCUCCUAAUGUUAUCCCUCUCCUCUGCCCCCUCCCAACAAUAGGACCUGGUGUGUGAUGUUCCCCUUCCUGUGUCCAAGUGAUCUCAUUGUCAAGUUCCCACCUAUGAGUGAGAACAUGCAGUGUUUGGUUUUCUGUUCUUGCGAUAGUUUGCUGAGAAUGAUGGUUUCCAGCUGCAUCCAUGUCUCUACAAAGGACACAAACACAUCCUUUUUUAUGGCUGCAUAGUAUUCCAUGGUGUAUAUGUGCCACAUUUUCUUAAUCCAGUCUGUCACUGAUGGACAUUUGGGUUGAUUCCAAGUCUUUGCUAUUGUGAAUAGUGCUGCAAUAAACAUACGUGUGCAUGUGUCUUUAUAGCAGCAUGAUUUAUAAUCCUUUGGGUAUAUCCCCAGUAAUGGGAUGGCUGGGUCAAAUGGUAUUUCUAGUUCUAGAUCCUUGAGGAAUCGCCAUACUGUUUUCCACAAUGGUUGAACUAGUUUACAGUCCCACCAACAGUGUAAAAGUGUUCCUAUUUCUCCACAUCCUCUCCAGCACUUGUUGUUUCCUGACUUUUUAAUGAUUGCCAUUCUAACUGCUGUGAGAUGGUAUCUCAUUGUGGUUUUGAUUUGCAUUUCUCUGAUGGCCAGUGAUGAUGAGCAUUUUUUCACGUAUCUGUUGGCUGUAUGAAUGUCUUCUUUUGAGAAGUGUCUGUUCAUAUCCUUUGCCCACUAUUUGAUGGGGUUGUUUGUUUGUUUCUUGUAAAUUUGAGUUCUUUAUAGGUUCUGGAUAUUAGCCCUUUGUCAGAUAAGUAGAUUGCAAAGAUUUUCUCCCAUUCUGUAGGUUGCCUGUUCACUCUGAUGGUGGUUUCCUUUGCUGUGCAGAAGCUCUUUAGUUUAAUUAGAUCCCAUUUGUCAAUUUUGGCUUUUGUUGCCGUUGCUUUAUGCAGGCACAUGACCAUCUGUGGGCAGAGUUGACACAAUGGGGUGGACAGAAACUGAAGGAUUUGCAGGUGUAUGGCCCCCACAUGUGGAAGGGGCGAGAAGCCUGGCAGCCAUGGCAUUUCCUUGUGCAGACUGCAUAGGGGGAGGGAAGGCAGUCAGCAAAGCUUCUCAGAGCGCCUUGCCAGUGAGAGAGACCAGGCACCAGGGGCUGUGCUGUCUGAGCUGCUGGAGACCCA
rnacentral:lncRNA from 10 species